rnacentral:rRNA from 1 species
AACCUGCGGAGGGAUCAUUACCGAGUUUUACAACUCCCAAACCCCUGUGAACAUACCUUAUGUUGCCUCGGCGGAUCAGCCCGCGCCCCGUAAAAAGGGACGGCCCGCCGCAGGAACCCUAAACUCUGUUUUUAGUGGAACUUCUGAGUAUAAAAAACAAAUAAAUCAAAACUUUCAACAACGGAUCUCUUGGUUCUGGCAUCGAUGAAGAACGCAGCAAAAUGCGAUAAGUAAUGUGAAUUGCAGAAUUCAGUGAAUCAUCGAAUCUUUGAACGCACAUUGCGCCCGCCAGUAUUCUGGCGGGCAUGCCUGUUCGAGCGUCAUUUCAACCCUCAAGCCCAGCUUGGUGUUGGGAGCUGCAGUCCUGCUGCACUCCCCAAAUACAUUGGCGGUCACGUCGAGCUUCCAUAGCGUAGUAAUUUACACAUCGUUACUGGUAAUCGUCGCGGCCACGCCGUUAAACCCCAACUUCUGAAUGUUGACCUCGGAUCAGGUAGGAAUACCCGCUGAACUUAAGCAUAUCAAUAAGCGGAGGA